GAGGGUAUAGCUCAAGUGGUAGAGUGCAUGCUUAGCAUGCAGAAGGUCUUGGGUUCAAUUCCCAGUCCCUCU
rnacentral:tRNA from 1 species